rnacentral:rRNA from 1 species
CAGGACGAACGCUGGCGGCGUGCUUAACACAUGCAAGUCAAGGGGACCCGCAAGGGUAACCGGCGAACGGGUGCGUAACAUGUGAGCAACCUACCGAGAUCUGGGGGAUAGCCGGCCCAACGGCCGGGUAAUACCGCAUACGCUCUUUCCACGGCAUUGUGGAUUGAGGAAACCUCCGGGGGAUUUCGAGGGGCUCGCGGCCUAUCAGCUAGUUGGCGAGGUCACGGCUCACCAAGGCGACGACGGGUAGCUGGUCUGAGAGGAUGGCCAGCCACAUUGGGACUGA